UACGGAGGGUGCGAGCGUUGUCCGGAAUCACUGGGCGUAAAGGGCGCGUAGGCGGUCAGCACAAGUCAGUUGUGAAAUCUCCGGGCUUAACUCGGAAAGGUCAACUGAUACUGUGCGACUAGAGUGCGGAAGGGGCAACUGGAAUUCUCGGUGUAGCGGUGAAAUGCGUAGAUAUCGAGAGGAACACCUGCGGCGAAGGCGGGUUGCUGGGCCGACACUGACGCUGAUGCGCGAAAGCCAGGGGAGCGAACGGG
rnacentral:rRNA from 1 species